CCCAUUGGUGGGUUGCUGCCCCUGAAUUGGUAAUUUUAGGGAAUUUUUGCUGUUUUUGGUUAUUAUCUUGAAUAUUAUUAUAGAUAGAGAUAAACUGUAAACAGCAAUAAUGUUCAGCAAAGUUAGAUUUACAAAUAAGUCAACAUGACCAAAAUGGUCAAUUGACCCCUUUAGAAGUUAUUGACCUUUAUAGUCAAUUUUUAACCAUUUUUCGUAAAUCUUAGAAAUCUUUUACAAAAAUCUUCUCCUCUGAAACUACUGUGCCAAAUUAAUCCAAACUUGGCCACAGUCAUCUUUGGGGUAUCUAGUUUAAAAAAUGUGUGGCGUGACCCGGCCAAGUAACCAAGAUGGCCACCAUGGCUAAAAAUAGAACAUAGGGGUAAAAUGCAGUUUUUGGCUUAUAACUCAAAAAUCAAAGCAUUUAGAGCAAAUCUGACGGGUUAAAAGUGUUUUAUCAAGGUCAAGAUCUAUCUGUCCUGAAAUUUUCAGAUGAAUCCGACAACCUGUUGUUGGGUUGCUGCCCCUGAAUUGGUAUUUUUAAGGAAAUUUUGCUGUUUUUGGUUAUUAUGUUGAAUAUUAUUAUAGAUAGAGAUAAACUGUAAACAGCAAUAAUGUUCAGCAAAGUAAGAUUUACAAAUACCUCAAUGCAAAGGAAAUGGUCAGCUGACCUCUUUAGGAGUUAUUUCCCUUUAUAGUCAAAUUUUAACCAUUUUUUCGUAAAUCUUAGUAAUCUUUUACAAAAAUCUUCUCCUCUGAAACUACUGGGCCAAAUUAAACCAAACUUGGCCACAAUUGUCAUGGGGGUAUCUAGUUUAAAAAAUGUGUGGCGUGACCCGGCCAACCAACCAAGAUGGCCGCCAUGGCUAAAAAUAGAAUAUAGGGGUAAAAUGCAGUUUUUGGCUUAUAACUCAAAAACCAAAGCACUUAGAGCAAAUCUGACAUGGGGUAAAAUUGUUUAUCAGGUCAAGAUCUUUCUGCCCUCAAAUUUUCAGAUGAAUCCGACAACCCGUUGUUUGGUUACUGCCCCUGAAUUGGUAUCUUGAAUAUUAUUAUAGAUAGAGAUAAACUGUAAACAGCAAUAAUGUUCAGCAAAGUUUGAUUUACAAAUAAGUCAACAUGACCAAAAUAGUCAAUUGACUCCUUAAAGAGUUAUUGCCGUUUAUAGUUAAUUUUUAGCAUUUUUCAUAAAUUUUUGUAAAUUUCUAGAAAAUAUUUUCCACUGUAAUUACUGGGCCAAGUUCAUUAUAGAUAAAGAUAAUUGUAGCAACAAGAAUGUUCAGUAAAGUAAGAUCUACAAACACAUCACCAUCACCAAAACACAAUUAUAUCAUGAAUUUAUCUGUGUCCAUUGUUUAAUAUGCACAUAGACCAAGGUGAGCGACACAGGCUCUUGAGAGCCUCUAGUUGAGUUAUUGUCCGAAGUGUUGAAAAUCCCCCUUUUUUUAUGAAUAAAGCCCCAUAAAUCCAAAACUUAAAAUCUGAAAUUUAUAAAAAUUGAAAGGGAGCUUACAUCAAUAGAUAUAAACAAUUCACCAAAGUUUCAUGGACAUUGGUGAAAGCCUUUUUGAGUUAUUGUCCGAAGUGUUGAAAAUCCCCCCUUUUUUAUGAAUAAAGCCCCAUAAAUCCAAAACUGAAAAUCUGAAAUUAAAAAAAAACGAAAGGGAGCUUACGUCAAUAGAUAUAAACAAUUCACUUAAGUUUCAUGGAAAUUGGUGAAAGUGUUUUUGAGUUAUUGUCCGAAGUGUGGACGACGGACGGACGGACGGACGGACGGACAACGGUAUACCAUAAUACGUCCCGUCUAAAAGACGACGGGCGUAUAAAAACU
rnacentral:lncRNA from 1 species